ACGGCUCAGUAACACGUAGUUAAUCUGCCCUUGGGACGGGAAUAAUCCUGGGAAACUGGGGCUAAUUCCCGAUAGGCGCAGUGGCCUGGAAUGGUACUGCACUCAAAAGGCUUUAAGAACAUGCUUUUGGAGCUGCCCAAGGAUGAGACUGCGGCCGAUCAGGUUGUUGGUGGGGUAACUGCCUACCAAGCCUAUAACCGGUACGGGCCCUGAGAGGGGGAGCCCGGAGAUGGGAACUGAGACAAGGUCCCAGGUCCUACGGGGCGCAGCAGGCGCGAAAACUCCGCAAUGCGCGAACGCGUGACGGGGUUAUCCCGAGUGCCGUCCGAUGAGGAUGGCUUUUCUUCAGUUUAAGGAUCUGUAGGAAUAAAGGGGGGGCAAGACUGGUGUCAGCCGCCGCGGUAAUACCAGCCUCCUGAGUGGUGGGGACGAUUAUUUGGCCUAAAGCGUCCGUAGCCGGCUUAAGAAGUCUUUCGUCAAAUCCGACGAUUCAAUCGUUGACACGCGAGAGAUACUGUUAGGCUUGAGGGCGGGAGAGGUCGACGGUACUCCUUGGGUAGGGGUGAAAUCCUAUAAUCCUGGGAGGACCACCAAUGGCGAAGGCAGUCGACUAGAACGUGCCUGACGGUGAUGGACGAAAGCUGGGGGAGCGAACCGGAUUAGACACCCGGGUAGUCCCAGCUGUAAACGAUGCGAGCUAGGUGUUGGAGCAACUACGAGUUGCCCCAGUGCCGCAGAGAAGUUGUUAAGCUCGCCGCCUGGGAGGUACGGCCGCAAGGCUGAAAACUUAAAGGAAUUGGCGGGGGAGCAC
rnacentral:rRNA from 1 species